AGAUUCCCCUCGAUACGUUUUGUUGCCCAAGAGUUGUGAAAAAAUUUUGGGGGGGGUUGAUUGUUGAAACCCGUCAUUUUAACACCUGCUCUCGUGCCAGGAUUUUACUCCGUGUUCACAAGGAUUUACACCCAAAUAGAAACAAUGUAAAUUAAGAGGAGAACAUGUUUUUUGUGGGAGUAUUCAGCAGCCAACUCCCUGCCUUGUUCAGAUUAGCAACAGCAUGCAUAUUCAAACGGCGUUCUCACUGGUGCUGGUGUGAUCUCCAGGUUAGCAGCAACUGAACUCAGCUGCGAAGAGUUUUCAAAACUGUCGGCGACGCCAAACUUAUCGGCUGACAUUUGUGACAGUCGUGCCACAGCAUUUAAAAGAUCUCUGGAAGCAUGAAGAGAAGAUGAAGGGCCACUUACCCAGCAUGCUCCAGGGCUCCCUUUGUUUCAUACUCCGCUAGGAGAUAAAAGUCUAAGACCAAGGUAGAGUGGGAAACAGACAUGGUUGCCUUGGCCAGACAAAAAGUGCCACGUGCCGGCAGGGUGGAUGGGAAAGGAGCUGUUAAGAAGGUUCAAGGAGGGUCCCCGUCCUGACACAAACACAUUCAGCCCCGCUGGCUCUGCAGUGGGAAACAUCUGCCCAUGGUGGUGGAAGGAGCGGUUGCUAUGUCAACAGUGAAUACAGCCAGCCUCUCAGUGGU